rnacentral:rRNA from 1 species
CUAAUACAUGCAAGUCGAGCGAACAGAUGAGAAGCUUGCUUCUCUGAUGUUAGCGGCGGACGGGUGAGUAACACGUGGGUAACCUACCUAUAAGACUGGGAUAACUCCGGGAAACCGGGGCUAAUACCGGAUAAUAUUUUGAACCGCAUGGUUCAAUAGUGAAAGACGGUUUCGGCUGUCACUUAUAGAUGGACCCGCGCCGUAUUAGCUAGUUGGUAAGGUAACGGCUUACCAAGGCGACGAUACGUAGCCGACCUGAGAGGGUGAUCGGCCACACUGGAACUGAGACACGGUCCAGACUCCUACGGGAGGCAGCAGUAGGGAAUCUUCCGCAAUGGGCGAAAGCCUGACGGAGCAACGCCGCGUGAGUGAUGAAGGUCUUCGGAUCGUAAAACUCUGUUGUUAGGGAAGAACAAAUUUGUUAGUAACUGAACAAGUCUUGACGGUACCUAACCAGAAAGCCACGGCUAACUACGUGCCAGCAGCCGCGGUAAUACGUAGGUGGCAAGCGUUAUCCGGAAUUAUUGGGCGUAAAGCGCGCGUAGGCGGUUUCUUAAGUCUGAUGUGAAAGCCCACGGCUCAACCGUGGAGGGUCAUUGGAAACUGGGAAACUUGAGUGCAGAAGAGGAGAGUGGAAUUCCAUGUGUAGCGGUGAAAUGCGCAGAGAUAUGGAGGAACACCAGUGGCGAAAGGCGGCUCUCUGGUCUGUAACUGACGCUGAUGUGCGAAAGCGUGGGGAUCAAACAGGAUUAGAUACCCUGGUAGUCCACGCCGUAAACGAUGAGUGCUAAGUGUUAGGGGGUUUCCGCCCCUUAGUGCUGCAGCUAACGCAUUAAGCACUCCGCCUGGGGAGUACGACCGCAAGGUUGAAACUCAAAGGAAUUGACGGGGACCCGCACAAGCGGUGGAGCAUGUGGUUUAAUUCGAAGCAACGCGAAGAACCUUACCAAAUCUUGACAUCCUUUGACCGCUCUAGAGAUAGAGUCUUCCCCUUCGGGGGACAAAGUGACAGGUGGUGCAUGGUUGUCGUCAGCUCGUGUCGUGAGAUGUUGGGUUAAGUCCCGCAACGAGCGCAACCCUUAAGCUUAGUUGCCAUCAUUAAGUUGGGCACUCUAGGUUGACUGCCGGUGACAAACCGGAGGAAGGUGGGGAUGACGUCAAAUCAUCAUGCCCCUUAUGAUUUGGGCUACACACGUGCUACAAUGGAUAAUACAAAGGGCAGCGAAUCCGCGAGGCCAAGCAAAUCCCAUAAAAUUAUUCUCAGUUCGGAUUGUAGUCUGCAACUCGACUACAUGAAGCUGGAAUCGCUAGUAAUCGUAGAUCAGCAUGCUACGGUGAAUACGUUCCCGGGUCUUGUACACACCGCCCGUCACACCACGAGAGUUUGUAACACCCGAAGCCGGUGGAGUAACCUUUUAGGAGCUAGCCGUCGAA